UGGGGAAUAUUGCACAAUGGGCGAAAGCCUGAUGCAGCAACGCCGCGUGAGUGAUGAAGGUCUUCGGAUUGUAAAGCUCUGUCUUUUGGGACGAUAAUGACGGUACCAAAGGAGGAAGCCACGGCUAACUACGUGCCAGCAGCCGCGGUAAUACGUAGGUGGCGAGCGUUGUCCGGAUUUACUGGGCGUAAAGGGUGCGUAGGCGGAUGUUUAAGUGAGAUGUGAAAUACCCGGGCUUAACUUGGGUGCUGCAUUUCAAACUGGAUAUCUAGAGUGCAGGAGAGGAGAAUGGAAUUCCUAGUGUAGCGGUGAAAUGCGUAGAGAUUAGGAAGAACACCAGUGGCGAAGGCGAUUCUCUGGACUGUAACUGACGCUGAGGCACGAAAGCGUGGGUAGCAAACAGGAUUAGAUACCCUGGUAGUCCACGCCGUAAACGAUGAGUACUAGGUGUAGGAGGUAUCGACCCCUUCUGUGCCGCAGUAAACACAUUAAGUACUCCGCCUGGGAAGUACGAUCGCGAGAUUAAAACUCUAAAGUGAAUUGACGGGGUC
rnacentral:rRNA from 1 species